rnacentral:rRNA from 1 species
UACGGAGGAUGCAAGCGUUAUCCGGAAUGAUUGGGCGUAAAGCGUCCGCAGGCGGCUGUGUAAGUCUGCUGUCAAAGAGCGAAGCUCAACUUCGUAAAGGCAGUGGAAACUACACGGCUAGAGUGCGUUCGGGGCAGAGGGAAUUCCUGGUGUAGCGGUGAAAUGCGUAGAGAUCAGGAAGAACACCGGUGGCGAAGGCGGCCUGCUGGGCAGUUGCUGACACUGAGGCGCGACAGCGUGGGGAGCAAACAGG